GCCAAAAAUUUAGCCCACAAUUCUUCUAUGCAUACCCCUUAUCUUUUUUCAAAUAAAUAAACCAUUCUAUUUAGUCUAGUAAAGGCGAUUAAAAAACUUAUCGGAGCUAUAAAAAUAGUACCGCAAGGGAAAACUGAAAUAAAAAUGAAACAAACAAUUAAGCGUAAAAAAGCAGAGACUCACCCUCAUACCUUUUGCAUCAUGGUUUAACUAGUCUUAGUCAAGCACAAUGAAUUUAAGUUUGACCCCCCGAAACUAAGCGAGCUACUCCAAGACAGCCUAAUGGGCCAACCCGUCUCUGUGGCAAAAGAGUGGGAAGAUCUUUGAGUAGGGGUGACAGACCAAACGAGCCUAGUGAUAGCUGGUUACCUGGUAAAAGAAUAUUAGUUCUACUUAAAGUUUAACAAAGUUAUCUAAACUGACAUGUCCACUUUAAAGUUAUUCAAAUAAGGUACAGCCUAUUUGAAUCAGGAGACAACCUAAGCUAAUGGGUAAAUUAAUUUUGCUACCCAAGUAGGCCUAAAAGCAGCCACCUUUAAAAUAGCGUCAAAGCUUUCUUAAUUAUAUUUUUCAAUUCCAUAAUCUCAUCUCAACCCUUUAUCUCCACCAAGUAAUUCUAUAUUUAUAUAGAACUUAUUAUGUUAAAACUAGUAACAAGAAGAAAACCCUUCUCUUUAAUGCAAGCAUAAGACAGAAAGGAUAUGCCACUGUCAAUUAUCAUACCUGAUCAUUUAUUAGUAACUCCACAAGAAAACCCUAAUAAAACCAAUGUUAAACUAACACAAGCGCAUUACAAGAAAGAUUAAAAGAAAAAGAAGGAACUCGGCAAAUAAUAACCCCGCCGGUUUACCAAAAACAUCGCCUCUUGAUAAAUUAUAAGAGGUCCAGCCUGCCCAGUGACCCAGUUCAACGGCCGCGGUAUCCUAACCGUGCGAAGGUAGCGUAAUCACUUGUUCCUUAAAUAGGGACCUGUAUGAAUGGCAUCACGAGGGUUAUACUGUCUCCUUUUUUCAAUCAGUGAAACUGAUCUCCCCGUGAAGAAGCGGGGAUACUAAUAUAAGACGAGAAGACCCUAUGGAGCUUUAAGCAAAUUUACAUAUGUAACCAUUUCUCACCCCCCGGUGCACCACAAAAAGUACAACAUUCUGAUAAAUAGCUUUCGAUUGGGGUGAUCGCGGAGUAAAAAACAACCUCCACGACGAACGGGUUAAUCCCCUGAGCCAAAAAUUACAACUUUAAGCACUAAAAAAAUUAACGUUUAUUGACCCAAUACUUUGAUCAACGAACCAAGUUACCCUAGGGAUAACAGCGCAAUCCUCUUCAAGAGCUCCUAUCGACAAGGGGGUUUACGACCUCGAUGUUGGAUCAGGGUAUCCCAGUGGUGCAGCCGCUACUAAUGUGUUCGUUUGUUCAACGAUUAAAACCCU
rnacentral:rRNA from 1 species